GGCCCGCGCCGCCCCCUGCCCCGGAGCGCGCUCCGGCCGCGCUCCCGGGCAGGAGAGCAGCCGUCGCCCAAGCCCCAAACCCAGGAGGGAUCGCCACGCGGGGACAACCGGCAGGCCCCAGCCACGGACACUUCGGGACGUUUUCCGGCUGUUUUCAAGAAGUUUUAAUCCUGUACGUAACAAAUGCCACUGACCCUAGGGGAGAUUCCUCCAGGAACACGGCCCUACUGAGACUGUGAUGGAGAAGUCUGGCAAGAGACCCAGCAUGGGCAGCAGUUAUAACGUCAGGCUAGAAGCGGAAAGAACCAGGUUCGAAUCUCACUCCGCCAUGAAUCUUGCUGGUGACCUUGUGCUGGUUGUGUUCACAGGACUGUUGUGAGAAUAAAAUGGAGGAGAGCCAUGAAGGGUGAGAUGGACGUGCAAUUCAUAUUAAUUUGUCCAAGGACAUGGCUUAAAGGGGAGGGGGGCAUGGGAAAUCCCAGCUUUCUGGUAAUCAUUCCUGUAGGAUCCAUGGAUUUGCAGUCACAUCUCCCCUUUUGAAGACACGCGCCUCCAAAACAUAGCACGUGGAACAACCCUGAGCCAUUGGGAAAGGAGUGUCUUGCUGGGCCGGGCUGGGAUAGUGGCCGGCUUGCUCUAAUUCACAUCCCUGCUUGGCCACUAAAAGACCCUCAGGCCCGCCAGCCUGGUCUACCGUACAAUGUCGUUGUGAAAAAUAAAAUGAGCUUACACUGCUGUACUUUGCCCCAUGCAACUCCUUGGGAAAAGGAUAUAAAUAAAUGUUCGUUUUCGUAUUGUUUAGUGUCGGAUUUGGGGCAGGGGAGACUUGGGUUCAAAAUCCCACCCUUGACUUGGAAACUAGAUGGACCUUUGGGGACUGAUCCAACAGAGCUCUUUGAACAAUCUUAUGGUGUUAGAGAAAUUCACCAUAUAGAUAUCAGUUAACCUGGAGAGCCAAGAACAGAACCUCCAUGUUCAGAGGCAGUGUAACUCUAAAAACCAGGUGCUGGGGAGCAGGAGAGGGCGAUCCUGCCCUCCUUGUGGUUUUUUCCCAACCUCUUGGCUGAUCACAGUUGGAAACAGUUUGCUAGGUUCAAAGGACCCAUGUUCCAUCUGGUCCAGGGGGCUGUUAUGUUUUUAAUCUCACAAGGAGACUUUCAGCAUAGAAUCAUAGAAUCAUAGAAUAGCAGAGUUGUCAGGGGCCCACAAGGCCAUUGAGUCCAACCCCCUGCUCAAUGCAGGAAUCCACCCUAAAGCAUCCCUGACAGGUGGCUGUCUGGCUGCCUCUUGAGUGCAUGUCGCACUCAACCCAGCCUACCUCGCAGGGUUCUUGUGAGGUGAAAAGGGGCCGGCUGACUGUAUACUGUGGCUGGGCAGAGUUUUGUAAAGCAUCGCUCGCUGUCUUACCUGCCCCUGGGACUCCAAGGCUGCACAGAGGACUUGCCAUGGUGGAGUGUAUCGGAACAUCGCUAGUCACGGAGCAAGGCCUUCUCAGGUCCUCGCUGGGCCUCUGCUGGUGCUGUGAGAUACAGGAGUAGCUGCUUUCCAAGUGCCUCUCCUCUUCCAGGACACCCAGUUGCGCAGGCAGCCACGAUCCGUCGGGAUUCCAAGCCAAACUGAGGAGGAAGCAGAGAGUGCAUUAACGUACACACCUGGCCAGGUAAGCUAUCUGUUCCACACCCAGUCCUAGACAGAGGCCUCUUCAGUCUCCAGCUCCUCCAGGUGAGAGGCAGCCUGGAAGGAGGAAGAGCGACUUGCACAGUUCCGCAACUGAAUGUGGGUCAAAAGCACCGAGGCUCGUGCAUGAAGUAUCUGCUUUCAGUCCUGUUACAUCCGAGAGGCGGAAACGUUUUCCGAAAAAGAAGGACUGAUAGAGUUUGUGACACACACAGAUUGUAGACCGUUUUAGUGUAUGUUAACAACAUAUGCUGAGUUUAUUUUUUAACUGACCCCAGAAUAGCUGUUUUGAAUGAUAUUGUUGUUUUUAUGCUUUUAAAUUUUUGUAUAUUUGUUUUCAAUGUUCACUGUUUUUAACUUUUGUAAACCACCCAGAGAGCUUUGGCUUGGGGCGGUAUAUAAAUGUAAUAAAUAAAUAAAUAUAUGUUCGAUGGCAUACAA